AUUAAAAAUCAAUUAAGAAGCUUAAGAAGAAAAAAAAAAAAUUUCUAAAACCUAGGGUUUUGAUUGGGUAUUGCUUGCUUACAUUGUUUUGAUUAAUUGGUGCUUGGAAUUGGAUUUUCUUCUUGUUGGUGCAUCUAGAUUGUGUUCAUCUUCAAAGGUAAGUUAUAUUACUUGAUGUUUUCUAUUACUUUCUAGAUUAGGUUGAAGUAACCCCUUGUUAGCAUGUUUAAUUCGUUUAUUACCAAGUGAAUUACAUGAUAAAGUAUGAUUUAGUAAGUAGAACUCAAUAAAGUUACAAACUUUGUGAUAUUUUAAUUAUGUAGAAAUGCUGAAAUUUAACUUUAAGAACCUAUUAAUGUAGGAAUUGGUAAUUUAAAACAUGUUUAAUGUAAAUUUAAUGUCCCAAAGUAUAAUAGAUGAUUUUAUUUCUUAAUUUGUACUUUAUGUGAUGAAUAAAACAUGAUUAUAUUGAAUUUAUUAAUGCUGAAAUUCAUAUUUUAAAAUAUGUUAUUAUUGGAUUUGAAUGUUUGACUUGGUAUUGUAAUGUUUGAUUGAACCCAUUGGUUAUGGACUUUCUUACUUUAGAAAUUCCUGAACUUGACAUCAUACACGUUUAUGUUGUUCGUCAUAUAUGUUUAUAUGGACAAUGGUUGGAAUAGAAUGGUUGGAUUGAACUAUGUGUUGGAUUAGAUUUGGGCGUGUUAAACAAAUUAACACCGGACCCGUAUGAUGGGGAGACGUCCCGGAGUGUUGUCACAUGACAUAACUCAAUGAGUGUAUGGCGUGAAGCGUACGACUCGGUGCUACUGCACAACUUAUAUAUAUGAAUUUCAUGUGAGUGUAUGGCGUGAAGCGUACGACUCGGUGCUACUGCACAACUUUAUAUAUGAAUUUCAUGUGAGUGUAUGGCGAUGAUGCGUACGACUCGGUGCUACUGCACAACUUAUAUAUAAAUUUCCUGGAUUGAAAUUGAUGGAUUUGGAUGGUUUGAUGAUUUGAUUUGAAAUGGAAAUUGAUGGAUUUUAAUAGAUUGUUUGAUUGGUUCGAGAUUGAAAAAUUAUGAUGUAGACAUUAGAAGAUUUAUUAAAUUGGAUUAGAUUAGUGUUUGUAAUGUCAUUUUAUUGAUUUUAUAUUAUGUUUAGUUAACCCCUGCGGUGCGCGGAUUCCUUUUCUGGGAAUUAAGAUCGAACCUCAAGUCUUAUAACUUGCAGUCGUUUAAUCGACCUCCCAUUUUCCUCUUUACAGGAAACAUGUGAGGUUAAUUACGGAGAGUCCGAUGAGGAUGGAGAGGCUGUUAGAGUUGGAGAUAGUAGAUAAAGUUGCUCUUAGUCUAGAUAUUUCUUUCAGUUAUCAUUUGUAGCCUUCGUGGCAUUUGCUUAGUCAUUUAUCAGCUUUCGGAUACUUUAGACACUCUUAUUUCAUCAGUUGAUUCUUUAUAUAGAAAUUUGAUUAGCAGACUUCCGCUGUUGUUUAUCUAUUGUUUUUCCAUAUAUUCUGCAUGGAUAUAAGAAUUCGGCUUGGAUGACACGUGACAGUGAUGGAAUCC
rnacentral:lncRNA from 1 species